GAAAUAUUCAAUAAUUAAGCUUCUAACUUAAUUCAUAGUGAUAAACCAUUAAUAUUUCU
rnacentral:tRNA from 1 species